AACGAACGCUGGCGGCAUGCCUAACACAUGCAAGUCGAACGACACCUUCGUGUCUUUUUGCGCUCGCGUGCGUAACGCGUGGUAAGCUUCACGUAUGUACCGAAUAACUCCCCUUAAGGGGUGCUAAUGCCGGAUAAUUUCUUCUAACCAAAGAUUGAUCGCCUUUGGGUGGGCGCGGAUUGGAUUAGCUAGUUGGUAGUGUAAAAGCCUAACAAGGCUACGAUGCCUAGCUGGUAUGAGAGAAUGAUCAGCCACACUGGGACUGAGACACGGACGAGAAUACUACGGAAGGGAGGAGAGGGGAAUACAGGAAAAUGGGGGCAAGGCUGAUGACGCCAGGGAGGGUGAGUGAUGAAGGCGUUAGGGUUGUACAGCUGUUUUAGACGGGACGAUAAUGACAGUACCGGGAGAAUAAGCACCGGCUAACUCCGUG
rnacentral:rRNA from 1 species